UACGGAGGGGGCUAGCGUUGUUCGGAAUUACUGGGCGUAAAGCGCACGUAGGCGGCUUUGCAAGUCAGAGGUGAAAGCCCGGGGCUCAACCCCGGAAUUGCCUUUGAGACUGCAUCGCUAGAAUUGUGGAGAGGUAAGUGGAAUUCCGAGUGUAGAGGUGAAAUUCGUAGAUAUUCGGAAGAACACCAGUGGCGAAGGCGACUUACUGGACACAUAUUGAUGCUGAGGUGCGAAAGCGUGGGGAGCAAACAGG
rnacentral:rRNA from 1 species